rnacentral:rRNA from 1 species
UACGUAGGGGGCAAGCGUUGUCCGGAUUUAUUGGGCGUAAAGCGCUCGCAGGCGGUCGAUUUAGUCGCGUGUGAAAGCCCCCGGCUCAACUGGGGAGGGUCACGCGAUACUGAUCGACUCGAAGGCAGGAGAGGGUAGUGGAAUUCCCGGUGUAGAGGUGAAAUUCGUAGAUAUUCGCAAGAACACCAGUGGCGAAGGCGGCUCACUGGCCCGGUACUGACGCUGAGGUGCGAAAGCGUGGGGAGCAAACAGG